rnacentral:rRNA from 1 species
ACGAACGCUGGCGGCGUGCCUAAUACAUGCAAGUUGAGCGCUGAAGGUUGGUACUUGUACCAACUGGAUGAGCAGCGAACGGGUGAGUAACGCGUGGGGAAUCUGCCUUUGAGCGGGGGACAACAUUUGGAAACGAAUGCUAAUACCGCAUAAAAACUUUAAACACAAGUUUUAAGUUUGAAAGAUGCAAUUGCAUCACUCAAAGAUGAUCCCGCGUUGUAUUAGCUAGUUGGUGAGGUAAAGGCUCACCAAGGCGAUGAUACAUAGCCGACCUGAGAGGGUGAUCGGCCACAUUGGGACUGAGACACGGCCCAAACUCCUACGGGAGGCAGCAGUAGGGAAUCUUCGGCAAUGGACGAAAGUCUGACCGAGCAACGCCGCGUGAGUGAAGAAGGUUUUCGGAUCGUAAAACUCUGUUGGUAGAGAAGAACGUUGGUGAGAGUGGAAAGCUCAUCAAGUGACGGUAACUACCCAGAAAGGGACGGCUAACUACGUGCCAGCAGCCGCGGUAAUACGUAGGUCCCGAGCGUUGUCCGGAUUUAUUGGGCGUAAAGCGAGCGCAGGUGGUUUAUUAAGUCUGGUGUAAAAGGCAGUGGCUCAACCAUUGUAUGCAUUGGAAACUGGUAGACUUGAGUGCAGGAGAGGAGAGUGGAAUUCCAUGU